GGGGAAUAUUGCACAAUGGGGGAAACCCUGAUGCAGCCAUGCCGCGUGUGUGAAGAAGGCCUUCGGGUUGUAAAGCACUUUCAGUUGUGAGGAAAAGUUAGUAGUUAAUACCUGCUAGCCGUGACGUUAACAACAGAAGAAGCACCGGCUAACUCCGUGCCAGCAGCCGCGGUAAUACGGAGGGUGCGAGCGUUAAUCGGAAUUACUGGGCGUAAAGCGCACGCAGGCGGUUUGUUAAGCUAGAUGUGAAAGCCCCGGGCUCAACCUGGGAUGGUCAUUUAGAACUGGCAGACUAGAGUCUUGGAGAGGGGAGUGGAAUUCCAGGUGUAGCGGUGAAAUGCGUAGAUAUCUGGAGGAACAUCAGUGGCGAAGGCGACUCCCUGGCCAAAGACUGACGCUCAUGUGCGAAAGUGUGGGUAGCGAACAGG
rnacentral:rRNA from 1 species